CUACGGGAGGCACCAGUGGGGAAUAUUGCACAAUGGAGGAAACUCUGAUGCAGCAACGCCGCGUGGAGGAUGACACUUUUCGGAGCGUAAACUCCUUUUAUAUAGGAAGAAGAUGACGGUACUAUAUGAAUAAGCGCCGGCUAACUCCGUGCCAGCAGCCGCAGUAAUACGGAGGGCGCAAGCGUUACUCGGAAUCACUGGGCGUAAAGAGCGUGUAGGCGGAUUAAAAAGUCAGAAGUGAAAUCCUAUAGCUUAACUAUAGGACUGCUUCUGAAACUCUUAAUCUAGAAUAUGGGAGAGGUAGAUGGAAUUUCUGGUGUAGGGGUAAGAUCCGUAGAGAUCAGAAGGAAUACCGAUUGCGAAGGCGAUCUACUAGAACAUUAUUGACGCUGAGACGCGAAAGCGUGGGGAGCAAACAGGAUUAGAUACCCCGGUAGUC
rnacentral:rRNA from 1 species